AGCGCGGGAAGCUUGUCUGAUCCCUUCGGGGUGACGCGAGUGGAACGAGCGGCGGACGGGUGAGUAACACGUGGGCAACCUGCCUGUAAGACUGGGAUAACUCCGGGAAACCGGGGCUAAUACCGGAUAAUACAUUGCUUCGCAUGAAGCAAUGUUGAAAGAUGGCUUUUAGCUAUCACUUACAGAUGGGCCCGCGGCGCAUUAGCUAGUUGGUAAGGUAAUGGCUUACCAAGGCAACGAUGCGUAGCCGACCUGAGAGGGUGAUCGGCCACACUGGGACUGAGACACGGCCCAGACUCCUACGGGAGGCAGCAGUAGGGAAUCUUCCGCAAUGGACGAAAGUCUGACGGAGCAACGCCGCGUGAACGAAGAAGGUUUUCGGAUCGUAAAGUUCUGUUGUUAGGGAAGAACAAGUACCGUUCGAAUAGGGCGGUACCUUGACGGUACCUAUCGAGGAAGCCCCGGCUAACUACGUGCCAGCAGCCGCGGUAAUACGUAGGGGGCAAGCGUUGUCCGGAAUUAUUGGGCGUAAAGCGCGCGUAGGCGGUUUCUUAAGUCUGAUGUGAAAUCU
rnacentral:rRNA from 1 species